AGUGAUUCAGAUGGCUGCAUGCAUUGGACAGACACCUGCAGCAGGGCAGACAGAGCUGUGAGCUGGCGAAAUAAAUAGCUGUUCUUGCCUUUGGGCUUCUGGAGUACGCAGGGUUUUGUAAUUAACCUUUUGUUUAUCUUAUAGGGCAAUUUUGUUGCUUCUUGCUAAGAUGCAAAGGACUUUUUGUAAAAAGACUAUAUAAGCAGAGAUUAGGAGAUGGCUGCUCAAAACCCAGAGAGUGGUGGGGGCGAAAUACCCUCUCUUGGAAUCGGUUUUAAAUCUUCAUCUAGUUCUUCAGUAAUCUGAUGGCUGCCUCACUCUGGCUAGGCUUGGGCUUCUGGUGAGUGUUUGAAGGCUGCGCUCUGCUGUGUUGAGCUCCCUUCUCCAUGCUCAAUUCUUGAGUACCCUCAGAAUCAGAGAGCUGGGGUGUGUCCAGGAGUAAGAAAAAGCUAACAUGCUUCUACUCAGGAACUGUAACUUCUACCUUUCUCCUCAAGGCUUACCCCUGCCCUGCGAGCUGCACCUGCAUUGUCUGGGCAUCUGGUGGGGGAGUGGGGAGGAGGCCUCUGUCAAUAGAAGAACUGGGGCCGGAGGUUUGGUGCAGUCAGGUUGUGUCUGUAGGAGGUCAAAAUCCACACAGCUGGAAUGAGGGACAGGUGAGGUCCAGAGGCUCUGCAGUGGGGCAAAGGGGUAUCUGAUGCAGAUUCUCCAACUACCUGCUUAACUUCACCCAGAGCAGGUGCCUUUUCCAAAUUAGCUCAGGGGGAGCUCUCUUCACCUGGUUUUCCAAACUGACCAGUCAGGGGUAGGUUGCCCCCAUCCAGCCUCCUUUUCCUUAGCUCCCUUCACAUUCUAGUUUCUGCCCGUGCCAUCAGGCCCUGUGGCCCAGACCAGGCAUCUUGAACUAUAUCCCAGACCCUCCUUAUGAACAGAAUCACUGCUCAAAAGUCCUCCUUUUUUCACCUGUCCUGCGCUCUAGUCUAGAUUCUGAUUUCUUGUGGUGAGUUGGUGUUGCCUUGGAUGUCUUGUGCCUGCUCAUAUCUGUGGAUUUGGCCCUAGGUCCUUUUUCUUUCUUCCUGUUGGCCUCCUCAGCUCCCUCCCUCCUUUCUGCCAGGUGUUCCCUGCAGGCCUCAGCAUCAGGGCUACCUCUAUUGACAGGGAAUCCUUGGGCGUUCGGGCCAUAGUUUUUCUUUGGUGAAUAAAUAUGUAUGGCUUAUAAAACAUAUGUGUUUCUAAAUUUGUGAAAUUAUAUGUAUGUUUAUACAUUCAUUCAUGCUUUCAUUUAACCAACAUUUAUUUUUUUACAUAGCAGAAAAUCAGAUGCCAGCCCAGAAGGUGUCCAGUGGGUAAGAAUGUCCCCCCUGAUGCCAUCCCUUCACCUAGUUCCCAGUGGGGAAUAUGAUGAAGUGGCUGCUACCCAGGAGCUCAUGGCCAUUCUGCUCAGUUCCAGUAUACACGAGCUCUCUGGGGAUGGCACCUCUCACUCUGCCAUGCAGUGGUGAGAAGUAACUAUUCUGGAAUUGUCUUAUCUCAGCCCUACAUACUAUUUUCAGUGUCUGUGUUUCAUUUUUCUUCAUCCUCGUCAUUCUAUAGCCAAUGAGAGAAGUGAGUUGAAAUAAAACCUGGCUUAAGAGCCAGUUGUAUUUGAAAUUAUUUGUGUUGGCCCGUUGCCUGUGGGUGUCUGGAGAAAACCAUCGGUUCCAGUUCCUGGAAACAGACCAAGCCAGUGCAAAGGUUUCUUGAUGUAAGAACACAGUGAAUCUGGUCCUGCAAGUAGGCAGAUGCCCUGGACUACCAUCAUGGUAUGUGGCCUUGUCAUCUGGGGUCUUGAAUUAGGGUUUUCAUCUCUCUGGGUUCACCUCGCACGCUGCUUGGUCUUUAGAAUAAAGAUUGAGGUUAUCAAGACCUAGAAAAAUGACUUUUCUGAACUUGAAAUAUUUAUUUUGAAUGCUCAGGAGGCAAUAUACUUUUGUUAUUC
rnacentral:lncRNA from 1 species